CUCAAUCCUGAAGGCAUUUAAAGACUGCUAUGUAUGUAAGAGGAGGAACAAAGCAUGGAGCCUUUGCACCCCAGCUCUCCAGCCCUGGGUGAGGGGCCACCCCUGCAGGAGUGAGAAGAGGAAGGAGGAAUUGCAGAAUGAGACAUUGAAACCUCAGGCUCUGUCCCUGCUGUGCACCCUGAGAAGUGUCUCCAAAGGUGAGAAGUGAAGGCAGAACUCAUGCCCAAGUCUCAGUCCCAACCAGCCUUGUCUGUAAGCAAAUAGA
rnacentral:lncRNA from 1 species